rnacentral:siRNA from 1 species
ACAAGCUAUCAAAAUCGGUGUC